GACGGAGGAUGCAAGUGUUAUCCGGAAUCACUGGGCGUAAAGCGUCUGUAGGUGGUUUAAAAAGUCCACUGUUAAAGAUUGAAGCUUAACUUCAAAAAUGCCGUGGAAACUUUUAAACUUGAGUAUGAUAGGGGUAGAGGGAAUUUCCAGUGGAGCGGUGAAAUGCGUAGAUAUUGGAAAGACCAACCAAUGGCGAAGGCACUCUACUGGGCCAUUACUGACACUGAGAGACGAAAGCUAGGGGAGCAAAUGGG
rnacentral:rRNA from 1 species